GUGCCAGCCGCCGCGGUAAUACGGAGGGUGCGAGCGUUAUCCGGAAUUAUUGGGUUUAAAGGGUGCGUAGGCGGAAAUUUAAGUCAGUGGUGAAAGCCUACAGCUUAACUGUAGAAUUGCCAUUGAAACUGAAUUUCUUGAAUCUAAUUGAAGUAGGCGGAAUAUGACAUGUAGCGGUGAAAUGCUUAGAUAUGUCAUAGAACACCGAUAGCGAAGGCAGCUUACUAAGUUAGUAUUGACGCUAAUGCACGAAAGCGUGGGGAGCGAACAGGAUUAGAUACCCCUGUAGUCCA
rnacentral:rRNA from 1 species